rnacentral:lncRNA from 1 species
GGAAAAUAAUAUCAGCUCCCUCCCCCCUCCCUCCCCCCAAUAAAAAAAGCACCACCCGUUAACAUUUGGCAAAACAACAGAGGAUGUCGCCUCUCCGAUUUUCACCCGCACACAUUCAGAUGAGCGAGCGAGGAAGGGGGGGACCCAGGCAGCCCCUCUAGACGUGGGGCUGCAUUGAUGGGAUUGUGAUUUGUAGGAUUUCUCCACUUAGUCCCUGCCUCCUACUUGCUCUCCAGCCACUCCAAAGUCUCUUCCCCUCUCUUUAAGCAGCGAUUUCUUUCAAUCUCUCUCUCUCCCUUCCCGUGUCUCUCUCUCACACUCUCCCUCUCUCUCCACAUACACUCAUCUCCCCGGAGAGAGAGAGAGGAGAAACUCCACUCCCAAACACCGACCAGAUGUCGAAGAAACGCAAAGCCCUGGAGGGUGGCGGAGCCCAGCUCCCCCCCGAGGACCCCAGAGCCUGUUUUGGGGCCGGCGAGGAGCAAGCUGGGAAGUGGAAGGCCUAGAAACCUGUCUUGAGGUCAUGCCAAGCUCUGCAGCAAAGCCCAGAUAACCACAAGCGACAGCAUUUGAAGCAAGUCAGAACUGGCUGCGAACAGCCCCUUAUUCAGAAUAACUUUAUGGCAACGCCGCCUGCUUGGAGUCGGUGACUCUUACUUCAGCGUAAUCAGAAGGGGAAUGCCUCCACAUUCCAAGUAUUAAACAAACACGUGGAAAGAUCUCUGUAAGGUGGGUAGGUUUGUCUUUGUUCUCUGUGUUUGGCCAGUCGUUUUCUGUUUUUACUUUGUAACAACAACGUUUUAAAAACUGAUAUUUACAGUUAUUUGUUUAUUUUCUGGAAAGUUACCUGAGGUAAAACUGCUUAUCUUUAUUAUAAGCAGUCAUUUAUAUGGGAUGGAUGUGGAAAAUUCUUUUCUGGCUUGUUAAAAAC